AAUUAGCCAGGCGCGCCUGUAAUCCCAGCAACUCGGGAGGCUGAGACAGGAGAAUCGCUUGAACCUGGGAGGCCCAGACCCCGCGGGAAUUGAAAUCUUACCACACCUGCUGCAGCAGCAGAGAGAGAGAUCCCAAUUGCCAGAGAGGGCACAGAAAUACAGGAAGCAAUAAUGAGUUUCAUAAGAAGUGGAGGAAUCAUAACAGGAGCAUUGGAACAUCAGACAGCUGGAUCCUCCGAGUGGCCUGGCAGUCCUGGCUCCUUCCGGAGUGGCCAACCCAGCUUCCUAGGCUGAACACCGGACUGGCCUCCAGGAGCAGGAGGGUGAUGAGGAAAAAGGCAGCUCAUCCAAGCUGCUGUCUAGUUAUCCCCAUCUGUCCAUCUGUCUCCUCAGCAAACACAUUCUUAGUCACCACCUGGAGCCUGUGACUCUCCCAGUUAUCUAAAGGGACAAACCCUUGGCCUCCUCUUCCCACUGGUGCACUACUGUGCAACCUGCACAGGCUGUGGUCAUCUGACCCACUUCCUCUCUUUCAUUCAUAGGACUUGAUGUAAAUCAAGGCUCUGAGGGGACGAUGGUGCCCAUAUAGACCCACAUUGAACUGUCAGUUGUCAGGAGCUAUAAAAUCCUUCCAGCAGCCACGGGCAGGCUGGCAAGACUCCUAGUGGGUGGCACAGCCCUGCCCCCUGCUGCUCAACAUGGAAGCUGCAGGAUAGGUGACCCUGGCCAGGCUGGGAGUCUUUAUGGACUCUACUGGGACAGUGGCCUCCAGACACCGGUUUUGAAAAUUCAUCUCUUAAAUUGAGUUCUCUGCAGAUCUCCCCUUGUUCUAGAUUGAAUUGUAUCCCUCUAAAAUUCAUAUGUUGAAGGUCUAAUCCCCAGUAUCUCAGAAUGUGACCCUAUUUGGAGAUAGGGUGUUACAGAUACAGUUAAGAUCAAGUCAUAAUGAAGUAGUGUGGUCCCUAAUGCAAUAUGACUGGUGUCCUUAUUAAAAGGAAAUGUGGGCAACACGUGCAUGCAGGGAACACAAAGGCAGGGACUGGGGUGAUGCAGCUCACACGCCAGCAACCACAAAAAGCUGGGACAGAGUUCUAGAACAUUCUCCCUCACUGCCCUCAGAAGGAGCCAGCCCUGCUCACACCUUGCUUUUGGACUUCCAGCCUCCAAAAAUGUGAGACAAUAAAUUUUUAUUGUUUAAGCCACUCAGUUUGUGGCACUUUGUUACAGCAGCUGAUUAUGACCAAACUAAUACACUCCUCGUCCAGGGUGUUCUUAGGGUAGUUGGGAGUGGUUUUAAGGCUUUACGGCAUGCAUAUUAUGAAUUCUAAAGAUUUCUCCGAAAACUUCGCCAAGAAAUUACACAG
rnacentral:lncRNA from 1 species